rnacentral:rRNA from 1 species
GACGAACGCUGGCGGCGUGCUUAACACGUGCAAGUCGAGCGGUAAGGCCCUUUCGGGGGUACACGAGCGGCGAACGGGUGAGUAACACGUGGGUGACCUGCCCUCAGCUCUGGGAUAAGCCUGGGAAACCGGGUCUAAUACCGGAUAUGACUCCAUGACGCAUGUUGUGGGGUGGAAAGCCUUGUGCGGCUGAGGAUGGGCCCGCGGCCUAUCAGCUUGUUGGUGGGGUGAUGGCCACCAAGGCGACGACGGGUAGCCGGCCUGAGAGGGCGACCGGCCACACUGGGACUGAGACACGGCCCAGACUCCUACGGGAGGCAGCAGUGGGGGAUCUUGCGCAAUGGGCGAAAGCCUGACGCAGCGACGCCGCGUGAGGGAUGACGGCCU